GUUGGUUUCAUUGUACUGCAUAAUGAAUUAAAACAUUGUUCCCAAUGCAUCCUGUGCAUGCAGCAAUGUUGACAUUGUUGAUACCCGUGGCUCGCUGAAUGCACGCGUUCGUUAUUUCGGAGCACGCCUGCGCCGAGCACGCCGCGCAAGCGCCGUGACGCGCCAGUCUGACAGCUGACUGUGCUGGCUCCCACCGCACAAGUUCACCAUCCGGCCCUUCUGCCAGAGGCCAGUCAACUGUUUAGUGCUGUGCGUUUCGUUCGUGCGUCCCGCGAUCGAUUUUCGAAUGUUUCCGAUGUGCAUUUGACGUUAGAACAAUUUGAAGUUAUUUAAAUAAUAAACGAUUUAUAAGUGGUGUUUUUAGUGCAGUUUAUUUUAUACGUAACCAUUUGCUGAUGCGAAUACUGUAAGCGCUUUUAUCGGAAUUGAAAGUUUACAAUGGACUUGGAAUUUCGGAACUUGAAAUACACAGUAUGCAGUCGCUUAUCAAAAGAAAAACGGCGGGAUGUGGUCAAAGGGGUGCACGGCAAGUUCCGUUCAGGAUACCUGGUGGCCAUCAUGGGGCCAUCGGGCGCCGGGAAGAGCUCUCUACUCAACGCCAUCUCCGGAUAUCGAUCCGUCGGGGUAACAGGCGAGCUCCUAGUCAAUGGACAGGUUCGAAACGAGCACCAGUUCCAACGUUCCUCGUGCUACAUCACGCAAGAAGAUCUACUACAGCCUCUACUGACAGUCCGUGAGGUCAUGGAUGUAGCAGCGAAACUGAAGCUGCCCAGAGGAGCGCAGGCGCAUGCUACGGAGAUACUACAGGAGCUGGGACUGCUGGAGCAUCAGCAUACGAAGACAGAUUUGCUGUCGGGAGGGCAGAAGAAGAGGCUAUCGAUCGCCCUCGAGCUAGUAAACAAUCCACCAGUGUUCUUCCUGGAUGAACCCACCAGUGGCCUCGACACCGUCACCACGGUGCAGUGUGUGAAGCUGCUGAGACAAUUGGCGCGGCAGGGUCGCACUGUGGUGUGCACCAUCCACCAGCCGGCUGCCUCGCUACUGGAGCUGUUUGAUCAGGUGUACGUGUUAGCUGAUGGUCGGUGCAUCUACCAGGGUGACACGGCCGCCAUGGUGCCGCAUCUGCAGAGCGUCGGUCUGCCAUGUCCACGGCACCACAACCCAGCUGACUUUAUAAUCGAAGUGACAGAAAACCCCGACAACAUAACGUUACUAUGCGAAGAAAUCCUAAACGGACAACUGUACAAAUCAUCAAAGCUGGAACAGACGGAGCCGGUCAACAACAUGGAGCUGAAGAUAUGCUACCAGACGGAGGAGGCUCAGGAGACCGAGAUCAUGCUGAGCAACGAGAAGUGCCUUUAUAAAGUGCCGAAGUAUAAUGGCAGUACUUCGAGCAGCUCUUUAACUAGUCAGGUUUCACAGAUAAAUUCGUCAAUGGACUGGAUGAAAGUGCAAGAGCAGUCGGACUCUUGCGGGUAUCCUACCACGUUUCUUCAGCAGUUCUACACUCUGCUGUGUCGGAUGAUGACGCAGAUAUUCAGGAAUCGGCAAGGUCUCUGGAUCCAGUUGAUCCACCACGUGAUGUGCGGCGUGCUGAUUGGCCUGUGUUUCCUGAACAUGGCCAACGACGGCACGCAGAUGUUCAACCACCUCAAGAUGUGUGUGGGCCUCGUCAUAUUCUUCGCCUACACGCAGAUCAUGGUGCCAGUGUUAGUGUAUCCUCAAGAAGUGAAACUCGUGAAGAAAGAGCAUUUCAACCGCUGGUACAGCCUCACGCCUUACUAUGCGGCUUUGACAGUGUCCAAGUUACCAGUACAAAUCACGCUUAACUGUGUGUUCUCUACAAUUGUGUACUUCAUGGUGGGAGUGCCGUUCCAAGUGACGAGAUUCAUUGCGUUCUGUUUGAUUGGAAACGUGGUGUCCCUGGUGGCUGAGGGGAUGGGCAUGGCUAUUGGAUCAGUGUUUAAUGUUAGAAACGGCUGCGCCAUCGGCCCAACAGCGAUCGCCCCGUUCCUCGGCCUCGCAAUCUACGGCUUCGACUUCGCACACCGCAUCCCCCUCCUCAUGAACCUCCUGAUGAAGACCUCCUUCAUCCGCUGCGGCGUCGUUGCGAUGGUCCUCACCAUCUUCGGCUUCGGACGAACGCCUCUGGACUGCAAAGACGUCUAUUGCCACUUCUCCAAACCUGAUGUUUUACUGAAAUACUUAGACAUCGAAAGAAGCUCAGUUUGGAUAGAAAUCAUGACGAUGGUUGGCAUUAUGCUCGUCUUCAGAUCACUCUGCUAUAUUGGUCUAAGAUGGCGGUUUGCCACCUGAUUCCUCAGUUAGUUUAAGUUCUGUGAUAUCGUUUUGAAGUCUUUGGGUUUUGCCAGUACAAAGAUUUUAAUAGCAUGUGAUUUUAAGGGUAUAAAUUUAGUUAAUAAUUAAUUUAUGUUUGAUUCUGUUAGUUUAAUUAUCUAUAAGCUUUAAAGAUCGUUAUCAAGUGCUUUAUAAGUUGGAAUCUUAACAUUAAUGUGUAUACCGUAUUUACUUCAAGGAGAGGAAUGUAUUAAGCCAAAGAUACUUUACCAUAGUAUCUAGGUAGACUUCUUGAAUCACAUAAAAUAAGAUUUCAGUCUCUAAUUCACCAUAAAGGGAUAAAUGAAGCUAAGCGUGAAUGAUAAUUAUUUAUUAUUAAGACACGAUCAAUACGGGAUCACUAUGGUUAGCGGUCACUUUGUUUACACAUUCAUAACAGUUACUGUUUAUUACGAGUUCGUACAUUUGCUACUUGUGUAUAGUGGACUAAACACUAAUCAACGUGUACCUACAGGCCCCUUAUGUACGAAUAAAGACCAGCCACGCUUACCCGUAUUGACCUUAUUUAAGUUGUUUGUUGAUACUUAAAUCGUUCAACCUAGCAGCAGUUCUAACCAAAAGCUGAUAAAUCUACUAGUUCAUAAAAACUUCAAAGGCUAGACGCUGGCUAUGUGAGUAGAGUAGACGUGCACAUUGCAAAAUGUUGUAGCCAUGCACGCACACGUCACGCAAGUGGUGUGCCGCCUCUCUUAAGGAUCUCUUUAUCACAACGCGCACGUGCACGUCUACGCACACGCCACCGGUGUGCACAUAAAAAAUAAAUAAAGGCCUAUAAAGUUUUUUUGAACUAUUCGAUUUAUCAGCUUUCAGUUAAUGUUAUUUGUUUUGUAAGAGUGUAAUGUUGUUGUCUGUCCUUAAUUAAAUAGUGCUGAUAUUUUAAAGUGGGGUUCGUAAACGAUUGAAUAUUUGACUUGCUUGCUGCUAGCUUGUCUAAAAAGUGACAUAGGUAUUGGGCGUGGUGUAGUGUAGUGGGUAUUGCUCUCGUCUAAUGUAAACGUAAAACAAAUCAACAUACGAAGAUAGGUAAUUUAUGUGGUUGAAAUUAUUUAGCAUGAAAAGAGCAUUUUCGAAUGAGCCAGUUCAAAAAAUCGAUAUUAAAGCGAGUGUACCUAUAUUUGGACACGCUCUAAGAUUUGUGAUUAAGUUUGACGGUGCUUUUAGCUAAUUUGUGCAAAAUGAUUUUUGUUUGAUGAUAGUGGUAUAGCAUAUAACCCAGUUAAGAUAAUAACAUUAAAAUAAAUUAUGGCACUUGACUUAGCUAUAUUUGACAAAUAGGUAUGCGCGCUCCAGCUUUUACGCGGUCAGUUGUGCAGAAAAUUUUGCAAAACAGAUGACGAUAUCUCGCUGUUAUUUAUCGGUACCAUAGUGUAAACUUCAUAACGUGACGAGCGAUCGCUUUGCGUUAAGUGUUUGUUUGCGUUGAGUUUCCAAAACGUCUCGCUUGGCGCGCUGUUCAAAUUCCCAUACAAAAUAGACAUAACGCAAACGCGAACACUCCUCACGCUAUCAAAUAAAAUUUACACUAGGUGUCGGAGCGGCGGGGCAUCCGCAUACAGAGUUAAGCGAAUUUUAAAACAACUUGGUAAUACAUAUAAUAGAACUAAGUAUACUUUUACUCAGUGUUGCCAACUUGGCAUAAAUGAUGCCAGAUCUGGCAUAUUUUCACUCGCUUUGGCACCAACAUUUUCCAUUUAGCAUCUGGCAUAUUUUUUAGCAUAAUUUAGUCUAAGCCAAGUUUGCACCAACUUGGCAGCAACAAUAUGAGCCAUCGCUUAUGUGGUUCAUAUUUUCAUAUGAAUUUUGACUUUUGUGGACGGAUGGACGUCAACGGACUAUAUAAAGUUGGCCAAGCAGAUCUUGAAAAAAAGUAUGUGUUUUAAGUGUCCAAUUUCAAGUGAUAUUUGAGUAUUUAUUAGCAUAGGUGUUUCAAAAAUCUUUGGCAUAAUCUAGACAUUAGUCUAGCAUUUUUUCAAAAUCCGAGUUGGCAACACUGCUUUUAGUUGGUAUUAUGUAAUACUUAUAGUGUUCUUGGAGUUUUCUCUGUUAACUAGUAGACCGUCUGUUUCCAAAAAAUAUUUUAACACAAAUAAUGCUAUUACACGCAGUGUACCUAAGUCAUGUAUCCUGUCUGUGUUAUGAAUAUUUAGGUGAGCUAAGUGCCACAACAGUAAAAGAAUAUCACCAAAACUCAUACAGCCUAUGUAACAGACUGUUUAGAAGAUAUUAUGAAAUAAGGUACCUAGGCAUAAUAUUUUUUGUACUUUUUUAAAGAGUAGCAGCAGAGGUAAGUAAACAGAGAAGAUUGACAGUCUGUUCGAAAUUGAGCUAUUUAUUGUUUCUAAGGGAUAAAGGCGUUUUAGACAUGGAAAGUACCUAGCCGCCGUCAUACAAUCGAAGUUAUAUGUAUAGGUACAGUCGCCAUCAGACCGGCUGAGGCGCUCAAAAAUAUCUGAACACGCACUCUAAGUAGCGCCUUGACAAUAGAGGCGUGUUCAGAUAUUUGUGAGCGCCUUGGCCGCUCCGAUAUAUCUGAUGGUGACUGUACAUAUAUAUAGGGUGUUUGGUACAUCGUUUGCCAAAUUAAAACGGCAGAUAGGUUGAGUCAUUUGCUACGAGUAUCUGCUCAUGCCUAGAAAAAAAAAUUGGCCAUGUUUUUUACUACCGCGCAAGUAAAAAUUAGAAAUUUACGAAAAACUGGCAUAGAGCUGAAAAAUAACCGUGCGCAAAAUUAAAAAUUUAAGACCUGGGAAGAUAGCAAAUAACUUAACCUAUCUGCCGUUUUAAUUUGGCAAACGAUGUACCAAAUACCCUGUAUACAAUAUGAAACGCAAACAUACUCUACUAGGUACCUACCUACAACAAUGAAAAGGCACGCGGCGGUAUAUAGGGAGCGUCAGUCUUCUCUAUUUAGUUCUUUCUAAGUAAUGUUGAGAAAAUACAGAUAUGAGUAAAAUUUUUGUAUUAUUAUUCGUCAGACUCCUGAGGGACUACCGGUAAAACCGAAAUUUGCAAAUUGCCGGGAUCUUUC